CGCAGCCACGCCCCCGCGCUGCGGCCACGCCCCUCCAACUCCGCAUUAGCGGAGGACUGGGAGGUGCCCCGGGACCCGGUGGAGCUAGGUGGUUGAGCUAUCUUCUCCCUUCUAAGAAACUAUCUUGACGUCCAACCUGAAGCUGCUGAGAGUGGGAGAGACUUUGUAUCUAAUCCUGAGAGCUUAUUUUGGACGCAUCUGUGAUGUAGAAAGAGACGGACCAGGAUUCAAGGACAGCCUCUACAGGAAGUACAAGAAUAUCAAGAUGUAUUUUUGGAGAUAAAUUAGUCAUCUCUUGAACAAUUCACAAAAGCCACAUUCACACUGAAGAAAUUUGACAGAAACACUCUCGUAGGGUCUCUCUAUAUAUCCCUGGAUGUCCUGCAGCUCACUAUGUAAACCAGCUAGAUUCAAAUUCACAGAAAUCCUCCUGCCUCUGCCUCCAGAGUGCUGGAUUAAAGGUAUGCACCAACAUAGCCCAGCUUCACUAUUUAAUUCUUCUUUUAAAUUACUAUUAUUAGUUAAUUAAUUAAUUUAUUAUUUGUAUAUAGAUACUUUACUUGCAUGCAAAUUCAUAUCUAUAUCUAGCUAUCUUUCAAUCAAUAAGUCUGUAUCCCUUAAAUACCAACACACCAGUUCCCAUUUUAAUUCUCUGUAUUGAAGCAAUAUUCAGUAGUAUUAAAUAAAAGAUUUAUAUGCUUUACCUGUAGAACAACAACUAUCCAUGUCAGUUGAUUAUAUCCUUGAAAAAAUCCAUUCUUUGAUACCAAUUCUCCAUCAUAAACGUACACACCCAUUAAUCCAAAUAUACUCCCAAAGAAACCUAAAAGAAAGUAAAAUCCAGGUCAUGUGGCAGUUUCUCUGAAGACAAUCCUGUUUCCUCCCCAGCCCUCCCACUCCUCUCCUCACUCCAAUGGCAGGGUCCUGCUUUGCAUAGGAGGACAGCAUGGGAUUUAGCACACAAACUGGACUGGAGCUCUUAUACCUGUUGCCUUGGUCUCCCAAGUCCUGGGACUACAGGCCUGCGCCAAGCUGCACAACUUAUUUCUUUUUGAUGAAUACUUUAAAAAAAUACUUCACUUGAGUGGUUGGUGGUGGUGGUGCACGCCUUUGAUCCCAGCACUAGGGAGGCAGAGGCAGGUGGAUCUCUUGAGUUUGAAGCCAACCUGGUCUACUGAGCAAGUCCCAGGAGAGCCAGGACUACACAGAGAAACCCUGCCUCGGGAAAAAACCAAAUCACUUGAUUUAUAUAUAAACAAUGAAUUUUACAUAAUACUAUAUGAUGACUACAAAAGACAUACAUAAGCAGAUAGGCAUGAAAAUAUUUUUAAAAAUAAUUUAGCAACUGUUAAACACUAUAAUAAUAUUUAAAUUACAGAAUUUGAAUUAUUAGAUUGAUGAUCCAUUCAAGCAUUUAUAAAAUGCUUGCGUAGUAUUCCACUGUAUCAUCAGUUUUCCUACUGCUAUAACCACAUUUGUUUGAGUAACAUUCAUACUUACAUACAAGAAAGCUAACACAUAGGACAUAGUUUCUUUGUAAAAUUUUUGUUAAGAUAGGCAAUGAACAUGAAUUACAAAGAGAAUAUAAAGCUGUUUUUCUAGUUCUAAGUCUCUCAUGAAUUUUUGUUUAUUUUGGUUUUGGUAGAGGACAUGUGCAUAAAAAUAUACUUCAUAGUAAAAGUGCAAAACCCAGUGUGUAGUGCCAAGGCUUCUGUCCAAAUGCCUAUUCUAAUCGUGUAUAAGCUCAGGUUCUUUAUCUGUAAGUUUUUUAAAAAUAAUAAAUCUUAUUUUUUAAAGAUUUUUUUAAGUACAAUACUUGAUAACCGAAACUCGAGGUUAAGAAGUGGUCAAAGCCAUCAUCGGGUUCUGUAUUUACUGCUUGAGUCUCACUGAUAGAACUGGCUCAGUGAACGUCACUGCUGAAUCCCACGUGCCAACACAGCCUCCAGACCUGGCGCACCGGUGGCCUAUAGACACCUACAGGGGCCACAUCCUAUGGCACACAAGAUGAAUGCAGUCAAAGAGGGUAUGUGUGAUGGUUUUAAAUAAAGCUAUAGCUAGGAAGACUGUGAGGACCAUGCAAAGUUCAUUUGUACAAGCUCAACCAUUGAAUGCGCCUCAUUUAGUAUGAAGCUAACCAUGGCAUGUGACUUUUAAAAAAUGCCCAAAGGCAUACAUUUUAAAAUUUAACUUAAAAAUUAAAAUGUGGCAAUUACUAAAAUACAUAUUUAGUACAUGUUGGAGCUAAAAAGUCCUCCAAACCACCAAAUGUUCAAGAAUUAUUCUCUGUCUUUUUACCACGAUGAGGAUGGGCUUGGUGGGAAGCCAUAGGUCACUUGCAAGCCUAUGAUCAGGACUGUGCAUCCCUAGCCUCUUCUUCUCCACUUCUAUUUAUUGUGCUACCAUAAAUAAAUAGCUUCCUCUGUCUUGCAUGUUCUGAUGUUAUGUCCUGCCCUGACACAGGCCCAAAAUCAAUGGAACAUCAGCUCGAAGCCCCAAAAUUUUAAGAGGAGGCAAACAUUAUCUCUGUAAGCUGAUCUAUCUUGUGUUUGUCACAGUGACAGAAGGCUGUCUAGCAGUAUACAAGAAUACAUAUGAGUUACAUCAGUAUAUAUAGAUAGAUCUUUCACAUUCCCAUAGUGGCCGGAUAUUCCACUGACUAGUAGUAUUAGAUAUCUUUUAUACCGACACUAACAUACUACAGGCCUCUUGGGCUGACUCUUAUUUUUGAUGAGGAAACUUCUCCCCAAGUCCAUGCGAUGAAAUGGACUCAGUAGUUGAAUCCAGGCAAUUUGGCCCUGGGUCCUCUUUUACUUUACAUUUUCUCUCUGUCUUCUAAAAUACAAUCUUAGUUAUACUUAAUCAAAAUAGUAAUUCAUUCAGACAGUAAUAUUUUCAUUUUGUUUUGUUUUCUUGUUUUUUUAAACAGUUGUAACCGAUGCUAACAUUUUCUUCUCCUCUAAGCUAUUUGCCACCAGUUAGGAAGGAGUAGGGUAAAAAGACAAAACAUUACCCUGAAAUAAAACAGCAUGUCACGACUGUAAAAGAGAUGAAAAUUGCUUCCUUUCCAACUUCUUACAUUGUAGGAGUAAAAUAUGUAAAUUAGUUGUAGCAUCUUCACACAUGCUAAGACUCCAUAAUUGAGGGCAGGGGCAGGCUACACUCUCCGAUCAUCAACCUAUUUUUCUAUAUCAUGAGCUAAGGCAUUCAUUUCAAAUCCAGUUUUCUAAGGGCAAGAUCAUUACCAGUUCUUUGUGUCAACAUCGCAUUUGCACUCAAGGCCUAUAUACUUAAGACUUAGGGAGAUCUACAAAUAUAAGAACAUAAUACUUGUCUGGUUCUUUUUAAGAUUUGGUCUCCCUGUGUAGCCUGGUUGGUUUCCUGCCUCAGCCUUAUGAGUGCUAGGAUCAGAGAUGUGCACCACCAUACAUGAGUGGUACAGUUAUUUAGAGAUAUAUAUUAGAAAGCUUCUAAAACUUACCAAGUUGAAUGUUUCUUAUCCAUACUGAUUGUUUUGUUUCUUUUAAGAUUUUCUCAAAAUAAACUCCGGCGAAGCCACUUGAAAAACAGGCUAUGAGAACUGCCAUGAGGCCCACAAACUGUGAGCCAGUUGAAAGGUCCUUAGAAUUCAGCUCUUGAGAAUCUGAAGGCCACUGAAUAAAAACAAAACCAAGACUCAAAAGGGCAGUGAGAUGGCUCAGUGGGUAGAGACACUUACAGCCAGCACUGGCAACCUGGGUCUUAUCCCUGGGACCACAUGAUGGAUGGAGGGGACUGACUCUCACAAGCUGUCCCCUGACCUCCACAUUGUGGUACCGCCUCAGCACAAGUACAUACACAUGGAAGAAGAUAAGAUACCUCAAGCAUAGUAGAAAGAGAAGCUGGUGGGAAGGGAACCACAAACACUAUAAGGAAAUUACAGUUCAUCAAAACAUGAAAGUCGGUUAAAUUACUAGACUGGGCAUAGUAUCCAUAAGAUUUGGAUGUUUACUGACCAUGGUGUAAUAAUUUAACCAUUGCUAAAGGUCUCUGUCUUCUGAUGUUCUGAGUCUUACUGAGCCACUUCUAAUGAAACUAUACAUUUUAAACUAUGUAUAUCCAUGUACAGUGGCUUUUAUUAUGACAUGUUCAUACAUGUGUUUCAUGUUCUCUGACCAUACCCUCUCCUCCAUCAUUACUACACUGUCUGCAUUCCCACUGCUCUAUUUCUUUCUCAAAAUAGCCCCUUUCGAUUUUCCCACAUUUUUUAAUCUAGAUUUUCCUCUCUCCUUUUUAUUGUUUUUUGGGGGUUGUUUUGUUUUGUUUUUCCAAGACUGGGUUUCGGGCUGGAGACAUGGCUUAGUGGUUAAGAGCACUGACUGCUCUUCCAGAGGUCCUGAGUCCAAAUCCCAGCAACCACGUGGUGGCUCACAACCAUCUGUAAUGAGAUCUGAUGCCCUCUUCUGGUGUGUCUGAAGACAGCGACAGUGUACUUACAUAUAAUUAAUUAAUUAAUUAACUAAUUAAGAAAAAGACUGGGUUUCUUUGUGUAGCCCUGGGUGUCCUGGAAUUAGCUCUGUACCAGAAUGACCUUAAAAGGAGAUCCACCUGCCUCUGCCUCCCAAGUGUUGGGAUUAAAGGUGUGAACCACCAGGAUAGCCCUUGGUCUUCAUUUUUCAACUGCAAAAUUCUGCUAUUUUGCUUAACAUAAUGAUCUCCAGUUCUACAUAAUUUCAUUUUUCAUAUAAAAAUAAAUCUCCAUAUAUAUAUAUAAAUUACAGUAUCCAUUGACACACAGAUAGGCAUUUAAACUGGUUCCAUAACUUAAGUAUUAUGAGCAACUCUGCAAUAAAUAUUAAUAUCUCUGUAGUAUGUUCAAAUAUAUACUUUGAAAUGGUAAAGCUGGAUCGCGUGGGAAUAUUUUUACUUACUGAGCAAGAUGGUUCAAUAGAGAAGGUGUUCGCUUUGCAAGCCUGACAGCCUGAGUUCAAUCCCAUGGAGAAAUUUCCAUUCUAUUUUCUAACUGGCUGCUUUGAAUUACAUGCCAAUCAGAGGAGCAGUAACAUUGAUUUCCCCACUAUUUGUUGUUUGUUUUGCUGAUAAUAGCCAUUCUAAUUAGGACAUGGACUCAGUGUAGUUUUGAUUUACAUUUCCCUAACGGCCAAAAAUGGUGAACAUUUUAGGUGUUUAUGGUAUCGGUAUUGGUAUUUCUUUUGAGAACUAUCUGCUCAGUUCAUUUGCCUGAUUAUUAAUAGGCUUGGGAUGUCUGGAUGCUUGGUUGGUUAUUUUUUUCAGUUCUUUAUAUAACUGCAUGUUAACCCUGUCUGAUGAGGAAGAAGUGAACACCCUCUUCCCACCUGACGGUCUCUUUGGUCUGUUUUCAAUGUCAUGCAGCUUUUACAUUUCAUGCAAUCAUAUCUGGCAAUUCUGGCUACUGUUUCCUUGAAUUGGAAUCUAUCAAAGAGUUCUGGCCCUGAGCUAUCUCUUAAGUGCUAUCCUGUUCCCUUUCACAUCCUCCAAGGUUUACAUUAAAGUCCUCAAUCCAUUUGCAACCGAGUUCUGUGCUGGGUGGGAAUGUGGCUAGUCUUAGCCUUGCACUGUGGAUACACAUGCAUAGCUUCUGAACACCACUUGUUGAAGAGGCUGUUCUUUAAUGUAUGCUGCACUGGCUGGCUGCAUGUAAACUUGACAAAAAACUAGCAUCAUUAGAGAGGAAGGAGCCUUAGGUAAGGAAAUGCCUCCAUGAGAUCAGCUAUAUGGUAUUUUCACAAUUAGUAAUCAGUGGGCGAGGGCCCAGCCCAUUGCUUUCUCUAAGAAAGAAGCUAAGCAAACUAGGGGAAGCAAGCCAGUACAAGCAGCACCCUUUCAUGGCCUUUGCCUUCAGGUUCUAGCCAUUUUGAGUUCCUGACUUUGAUGAUGAACAGUGAUAUGAAGUGUAAGCCAAAAUAAACCCUUGCCUCCCAAACUUGCUUUUUGGUCAUGGUGUUACAUUGCAGCAAUAGAAAUACUAAGACAUGGAUUUAUUUCUGAGACUUUCUCAUCUGAGGGCCUACAUGUCUGUUUUGUGCCUGUGCCGUGCUGUUUUUAUUAUCACAGCUCUAAAGCAUAGUUUGAAGACAGGUACUGUGAUACCUCCAAAACUGCUCUGGAGGCAGGAGACAGGAGGCAGGAGGCAGGAGGCAGGAGGCAGGAGGCAGGAGGCAGGAGGCAGGAGGCAGGAUCUCACACUGUAGCCUACAGUAACCUAGAAUUCACUAGGUAGCCCUAAAUUCAUGCCUCAACGUCUUCAGUGCUGGGAUUUUAAGUGAGCCACCAGGCAUGGCCAGCAUUGCUAUUUUUGUUCAGGGCUGACUUGGCUAUUAGGGUCUUUUGUGCUUUCAUAUAAAUUAUGUUUCAAAAUAGCAGUAACUGACAUAUUCCUCAGCUAUUUUACUCACAUAUCAGUUUUGUUUUUUUGGUUUUGUUGUUGUUGUAGUUUUUGGUCUAGAGGGAGUUUUUUUUUAUUUAUUUAAAGUUGAGUGGUUUUGUUUUUGUUUUUAAUUCUUUGUCUUUCAGUUUUUAACAUUUUAAAAAAAGAUUAAUUUAUUUCAUGUGUGUGAGUACACUGUCUUCAGGCACACCAGAAGAGGGCAUCAGAUCUCAUUACAUAUGGUUGUGAGCCACCACGUUGUUGCUGGAAAUUGAGCUCAGGACCUCUGGAAAAGCAAUCAACAGUCAACCACUGAGCCAUCUCUCCAACCCAAGUUUUUAACAAUGUUUUAUGAUCUAACCUACAAUCUAUUUUGGAGAAAAGUUCAAGAUAUCUAUGAAUCUGUACUCCUUACCUUUAGAUAGACUAUUCUGUAUCUCUAUCAGAUAAGUAUGCUUGGUUGAAGUCUGUUGACCACUUUUAUUAAUUAUCUACCUAUCUAUUAGAGUUAGCUAUCCAUCCUCAUUCUAUUUAAAUUUAUCUCUCUUCCUCUUUAGUAGUGUUGAAACCAUGCUUUUCAUAGUUACUAGAGACUUUUCAAUGGUAAGGUUUUUUGGUUUUGUUUUUUUUUUUUUUUUUUUUUUUUGGUAUGGGGGUGAUAUUACAUAGUCCAGGCCAGCUUUAGCUCACAGCAAUCUUCCAGCCUCAGCCUCCUAAGGGGGGAAUUAUAAGUGUGGUACCAUACAAGCUUAAACACCCUUUAACAACAAAAAGGGUUCACUUCCUAUUCAAUUUGCCUUCACUGUAGCAACAUGAUACUGACAACAAAGUCCUUGACUCUUGAAACUGUCCACUUCCCCCUGGGCCCUCUACUACGUAAGUACUCAAUAUGCUUUCUUUGAGGGGGGCAACAUUCUAUGUCUCUGCAAAUAGUGUAGCCACUAUCUUAUGUGGCUACCAAGCACACAAACGCAUACAACAUACACAUAAACACACACAAAAUAAAAAAGGAAUGCCAAAGUGGAAGGCAAUGACUCCAUGGAGAGUGAGAAAAGGAAUCAUUAGAAAGCUCUUGAGUUAGAAAAACCAGUAUCAAUAAAGAUGGUAGAUGUUAAGAGAUCUACAGGAUCACUGAUGAUCUCAGAGAGUCCAAGGCUCUCAUAAAACUUAAACUUAUUUCCUGUACAUUCUGUUUUGUUUGUUGGUUGGUUGGUUUUGCUUUUAAAGCUGAGUUCCGUUGUGCUAUGUCUCAUUUUGUUGGAUUGUUCCUUCUCUCUCUCUCUCUCUCUCUCUCUCUCUCUCUCUCUCUCUCUCUCUCUCUCUCUUGCCAA